GGGGAGGGGGGCAGGGAGAGAAGGGCGUUACAGUGUGAGAAGGAGGUGAGAAGGGGUUCCUGUAAUAUAUCCUUCCUAAAAUACAUGAAAACUUAAACAAAACCAUUGAUCCCAUCAAGAAAAUAGGAAGAAAUUAACUUUUAACAUACAAAACCAAAUGCACUAGAGACACUUUUCAAUAAUAAAAGCGGAUAUGUAAAAAAAAUUAUAAAAAAAACAAAACACACUGGCACCUAUUAAGACCAGACGAGACCCUAAUGAAAAUUAUACCUAAAAAAACAAACCUAAUAUUCAGAGGCGCUCCUAACUUCAAUCUAUUUUAACCUCCAAUUUCACUAGAGAAAUUAAGACGACAAAUGCACUAACUUCUUUUUUUUCCUGAAACCAAAGUUUUUUGUUUUUUUUUUACAAAUGUAAACUAUGAAUAGUGUGUAAAACUACUGACCCCUCUGUCCCUUCUAAAGUAAUUCAAUUUGCAUCCAAUAGAACAUAAAAAAAAUAGAUGGAUGCAAUUCAAAAAAUUUAAUCUACAUAUUGGAGUGCUCUUGUGGCCUUCAAUAAUAGGUAAUAAUGUAGCAAAUUUAAAAAUCCAGCUCAUUUCACAUUUGCUUAAAAUAUUAAUAUCUCCUCCUCUCCAGUGUGUCUUAACAUUUUUAAUGUUCUCCUCUCCAGUGUGUCUUAACAUUUUCAAUGGACACACAGGUGAUAGAGCACUUCACUUGUAUCAUAUUCUUACUUCUGUACAUUUAUUGUACCGUAUUUUUCGCUCCAUAAGACGCACUUUUUUCCCCCUCAAAAGUGAGGGGAAAUGUCU